UACGAAGGGGGCUAGCGUUGCUCGGCAUCACUGGGCGUAAAGGGCGCGUAGGCGGACGACUAAGUCGGGGGUGAAAUCCUGGGGCUCAACCUCAGAAUUGCCUUCGAUACUGGUUGUCUCGAGACCGGAAGAGGUAAGUGGAACUGCGAGUGUAGAGGUGAAAUUCGUAGAUAUUCGCAAGAACACCAGUGGCGAAGGCGGCUUACUGGUCCGGUUCUGACGCUGAGGCGCGAAAGCGUGGGGAGCAAACAGG
rnacentral:rRNA from 1 species